rnacentral:lncRNA from 1 species
GGCACUGAUGCAGGAUAAUUAGGAGGAACUCAGUCUAAAUCAGAGGAAGGAGGAAUUAAUCCCUAUUUUACAGAGGAGAUUACCGAGGCCCAGAGACGCUAAAGUACUCGCUGCGGACAAGUGGUGGAGCCGGAGUGGUAAUUUCACGAGGAUCUUUCCUACUUUAAAAUGGAAUGAUGGAAUCUAUGGCUUUCAUUUGGAACCCAUCUCUUUCUUUUGCCAAGUAAUAACGAAAGCAGUAAAACGGUAGGAGACUUAAAGACAUGCUUAUUAUAAAGCAAGAAGCGCCCUUGGAGAAAAACGAUCUACAAUCGAACCGUCAUGGAAUUCGGACUGUUUUAAAACACAGAAUCACGGUGAUUUUCCUCUGUCUCUGGUCUGAAUCUGACAAGAACUCAUCAGUAACUGGGGAUUGAUUGGAGCAUACUUUUUUUGUGAGUACGUUUUGUUUCAUGAAACCCUAAGCAUAUUGUUUAAUUGAUAGAAGGGCAUGUGGUGGACUUAAAUGGAGAAUUUUUCCAAAAGCUAAGACUUAUAAAACAAACUCCAUACAUCACUCCACUGCCCAGAUUAUCUUUCUAAAGAAAUGUUCUGGGCAUGUCACCCCCCCUUCUCAAAAAUCUCCAUGGUUGCCUAUCCACCUUCUUAUCAAAGAAAAACUGAUCACUAUUGGCUUUAAAGCUCUCCAUCACCGUGCCCCCUUCUACCUCACUUCUCUCCUUCUACAUCCCAGCCCGCACCCUCUACUACCCUGGUGCUAACCUUCUCACUGUGCCUCCAUCUCACCUGUCCCGCCGUCGACUCCUGGCCCAUGUCCUACUUCUGGCCUGGAAUGCCCUCCCUCCUCACAUCCACCAGACAAUCACUCUCCCCCUACUCUUCAAAGCCCAACUGAAGGCGCACCUCCUCCAAGAGGCCUUCCCAGACUAAGCCCCCCUUUCGGUCAGCUCCCCCCCUUCCGUGUCUUCCACCCUUUGCUCUUCCCCCCUCCCUGCCCCACAGCACUUAUAUAUCUAUAAUUUUGUAUUGAUGUCUGUUUACUUGUAUUGAUGUCUGUCUCCCCCCCCCCCCCCGCACCCAGACUGUGAACCCGUUGUGGGCAGGGAUUGUCUCUAUUGCUGUAUUUGUACUUUCC